rnacentral:tRNA from 1 species
GAGGUUAUAGCUCAGUGGUAGAGCAGAUGCUUAGCGUGCACAAGGUCCUGGGUUCAAUCCCCAAUAUCUCCA